rnacentral:rRNA from 1 species
AAGCCUCUAGCUAGAAUUGUGGUGCCCGUACCGCAAACCGACACAGGUAGUCAAGAUGAGAAUUCUAAGGUGAGCGAGCGAACUCUCGUUAAGGAACUCGGCAAAAUGACCCCGUAACUUCGGGAGAAGGGGUGCUCUUUAGGGUUAACGCCCAGGAGAGCCGCAGUGAAUAGGCCCAAGCGACUGUUUAUCAAAAACACAGGUCUCUGCUAAACCGUAAGGUGAUGUAUAGGGGCUGACGCCUGCCCGGUGCUGGAAGGUUAAGAGGAGUGGUUAGCUUCUGCGAAGCUACGAAUCGAAGCCCCAGUAAACGGCGGCCGUAACUAUAACGGUCCUAAGGUAGCGAAAUUCCUUGUCGGGUAAGUUCCGACCCGCACGAAAGGCGUAACGAUUUGGGCACUGUCUCAACGAGAGACUCGGUGAAAUCAUAGUACCUGUGAAGAUGCAGGUUACCCGCGACAGGACGGAAAGACCCCGUGGAGCUUUACUGUAGUCUGAUAUUGAAAUUCGGCACAGCUUGUACAGGAUAGGUAGGAGCCUGAGAUACGUGAGCGCUAGCUUACGUGGAGGCGUUGGUGGGAUACUACCCUCGCUGUGUUGGAUUUCUAACCCGCACCAUUUAUCAUGGUGGGAGACAGUGUCAGAUGGGCAGUUUGACUGGGGCGGUCGCCUCCUAAAGAGUAACGGAGGCGCUCAAAGGUUUCCUCAGAAUGGUUGGAAAUCAUUCAUAGAGUGUAAAGGCAUAAGGAAGCUUGACUGCGAGACUUACAAGUCGAGCAGGGUCGAAAGACGGACUUAGUGAUCCGGUGGUUCCGCAUGGAAGGGCCAUCGCUCAACGGAUAAAAGCUACCCCGGGGAUAACAGGCUUAUCUCCCCCAAGAGUUCACAUCGACGGGGAGGUUUGGCACCUCGAUGUCGGCUCAUCGCAUCCUGGGGCUGUAGUCGGUCCCAAGGGUUGGGCUGUUCGCCCAUUAAAGCGGUACGCGAGCUGGGUUCAGAACGUCGUGAGACAGUUCGGUCCCUAUCCGUCGUGGGCGUAGGAAAUUUGAGAGGAGCUGUCCUUAGUACGAGAGGACCGGGAUGGACAUACCUCUGGUGUACCAGUUGUCGUGCCAACGGCAUCGCUGGGUAGCUAUGUAUGGACGGGAUAAGUGCUGAAAGCAUCUAAGCAUGAAGCCCCCCUCAAGAUGAGAUUUCCCAACUUCGGUUAUAAGAUCCCUCAAAGAUGAUGAGGUUAAUAGGUUCGAGGUGGAAGCAUAGCGAUAUGUGCAGCUGACGAAUACUAAUCGAUCGAAGACUUAAUCAA